GAGUGCUGGUUGAGCAACACGCCGGGAAGGAGAGGAGCCAGCAUCACUUCUGAUGACACACGAUACUCCCAACAACAGAACAUUAGAAAAACCCAUUCUGCCUGACUUACAAAGGAAACAAAGCAGAUGAAACUGCAGCUGAUGCAUCUGUCAGGGUCUGUGCCCUCUGCUGCCAGAGUUACUCAGAUCCUGGACAAGAGGUUUGCAAGUUCAUCUUAGUAAAGCAGAAGUUUGAUUCCGGAUGAAAGCAGAUAAGAUAAUCCAUCAGUUAUGUUUCUGUGUGCUGGGGAUCACUGCAAGACAUUCCAGAUCCCUUAACUGGCCAGCAGUUUCACAGCAGCAGUGAAGUCUGACAGAUAAGAGUAAUGCUGAUCAACCACCAGCCCCAGGGAGCACUUUCACCUGUUCACGGAGUUCAAAGAUACAGCUGAUAGAGUCAGUAUCAUGGCUUGCAUACAUUAGAAAAGAAAUCAGAUACAGGUUUAAAGGAUACAAAGGAACAUCAAAACUGCUCUGCUUCCUUACGAUCUUCCUCAAUGUAAAAAGAUGUCAGGAGGAAAAAAACUCCUCCAAAGACACCAACAAAAACACAGAUGAUGAAGCUGUACUGCAGGCUGCAGAAACUCCAGUGGAAUGACUGAUCUUUCUUGGCUUGAAUAGCAUUGGAGAUCUAGGGAGUGAAAAAUGCUGUCAUCAAUCUGAGAUAAAACCAUACUUCUCUCAUGAUUUAAGCAGACUCUUCGCAUUGUGGUCCUUGAAAAGAAUAAAGCUGAGCAGGUGGGGAUAAAAAGCCUGCUACUAUCUUGGUUUGACAAACCCAGUGUCUAGUGCACCUGCACUGCACUGCUGUUCAACUUCCAUUUGGUUGAGGUAUCUCAUGGUUUAUUGUAUUGUUAGUGCCUCGAGUCACAAGAAUAAGAAAUGCUGCAACCAGUAUUUAUCAUGACUGGUAACCAUUAACUCAUUUUACCAUUUUCUAGCCCAUCUCCAGAUAGCCUGCAAAGGACAGAUGUUUGGCAAUUACUUUCAUCAUUUCUUGAUGUCAUUGGAUAACUUUAUCUAUACCUAAUCAGCAGCAAAUGAAUAGAAACAGAGUUGGCACCAGUACAGCCACGAGAAGCAACAGCCAUUAAAAAGGGAAGAGCUAGAAAUUGAUUUUGGAGACAAGAGAGGAAUUUGGUUUGGAGCCAAAAGGUAUUUAAGGAGUCAUGGAGUGAUACUGCGAGGAACUGGGAAGAAGAUACCAGGCAGCUGCUUUUUUUCACUGGCUUGAGGAUGAGUUUGUAAAAGCUAUAAUAAAUUUUAUGUCUGUAGACAGAAAAGCCACUUUCAAGAAACCUACAAGGUUCAAUAUUUAACCCGGGAACUUGAAGACUCUUCGUAGCACAAACAAAAAGAUGAAUGUUGAAUGCAGCUCUUUUUAUUCCCACAUAUAUCUUUGGUUAUUACAAUAUGCUACGUGACUGGAAAUACAUUAUUAUGAGAGUCUUCAACCUUUGCUGGGCUUAAUAUGAUCAUGAAUGACAUUUUAAGGAGAUAAGAGCAAGAUCAGCUCUCAAUGGGCACCUGGAGACCAUGGAAAAGAAAACAGCGAAAAGACAAACCCAAUGUGUUUAAUUUAAAAAUGCUCAGUAGGGAAAUCUCUGGGGUGCAAAGGGAAGAAAACCAGAAAAGUACAAUUCUCUGACUCUCCAGACAAUUUAUGAGCUAAAGUGUUAGCUGAAGUAGGUUACCAAACAACAGCAGGAUCUGAAAAGAGAAGAUUCAGUGUUUAAUUGGCGGCAGAUAUGGGCGGUGUUGGUGUUCUGCUACACAGAAGCCUUCCAGAACACAGUGAGGUUCUCUUUGCAUGGACCCCAAGUGGACAUACAACAGUUCUAUUCCUGGAUUUAUCAUCUCUGUUCUUUGCUAAUUUGCAAGGUUACAUGAGGAUAUACCAUGACAAACUUUCUCAUCAUACACUUCUCAAUUGGCUGCUAUUUAAGGCAACCACACGCCAGGUACUGCAUAAGAAGUAUCCUGCACACAGUUACUAGCAGGAUGCAGCAGCACGUUCAGCAGGAAACCUCAGUCCUGUCUGUGCCUCAAAUUUAGCAAAGAACAGUAAGUAAGAAAUAAAUACAAACAUAUUCAUCUCCCAGGCAUAAAGCAACAACAUAGUCAAAUAGUGGAGAAUGCACAAGGCAUGAACCAGCUUUUAAGAACCUCCCAUUUUUCUGUAUUAUUUUAGGCGGUUUCGGUGACACAAGGAUGUUGGCUACCUUGUUUGAAUAUGGCCAAAUCAGUGGUUGGGCAGUGGUUUUAUAAUACACUCCAAUGAGAAAAAGAAUCUCUUCAAUUGCCAAAAAAAAAAAAAAAAAAGAGCUGCAGAAGGAAUCCCUCUGUGAGAGAGGACUGUCAUCUCUGCUGGACAGAUUACACAGUUAGGAUCCCUGUUUUCAUCCACGUGAGGAAAAGGGAGAUCUGGCUGGCUGGACCAGCUUGCUUGCACAUUUCUGGCUGGCUCUAACUAAGUCACUGUUUAUAUGUCAAAGAACAACACUUCCUGAAGUGAACUUCUUCACAUAACUUCCAUAUAAAAAAAACUUACAGAACAACAACAAUACAAUCUCCCAUCAAACUCUCACUCUCUCAUGUCCUUUAAGGAAUAAAAAUCAAAGUAUUUGUGCAGAAUUACUGCACACCUUAAAUAAAAAAUAAGGAAGAAAGGAAACAACACUGACAGACGUCAUCCAUUGGAACUAAAAUAAAUGAUCUACAAUGAAAAAAUGGUAGUAGGCUGCUUUGUCCAGAACCAUGUAAGAUUAAGGUGCUGUAGGAAGGGCAACGAAAACAGUUCUCAAAGAAUACUCAAGGUUAAGAUCAUUUGAAACCAGAGCACUGAAUGUCAAGUAAUACCAAAAGGCAGUCACUGAGGUUACUCUUGUUGUGAUUGUCAACAGAAUGCUGACCAAUUCUAAGAUUCCAAAAGUAAGAAUUUGAGCUCAUACUUUUAGGUUUCAAAACAUAAGGCAGUAUUUGAUUUUCUUCUCGGAUGACACAUGGAUGUGGCCCUUAGGGACAUGGUUUAGUGGAAGGUUUACAGUGUUAGUGAAUGGUUGGACUUGGUGAUCUUAAGGGUCUUUUUCAACCUAAAUGAUCCUACGAUCCUAUGGUUAAUUUAUAUGAAACUCCUCACCAACUUAGCAAAAAGUACUUGAAUGCAAUACCCAUGGCACUGCCUUUGCAAAAAGGUGCGCCUUCAAGAGUCAUGAAUGUUCAAAUUCAAAAUCAGAAUGAAUUUCUACACACUGCAAGGAAACAACUCACACCUAUAGACAUAGCAUUAUGCUCUGUGCACCCGCAGUGUCACAGCACCAGAAGUUGCAUUCUGCUUAAAAACAUUUACAACAAUGUCCCUCUGAAUUCCAGUAUCAGGAUUACUCAAUGCCAACAGCUUGACUAAUUUCUAAGCUUCAGCUCAGGAAGUGCCUCAACUUCUGAGUGUUUGUCUUUCAGCUUCCAAAAGAUUUACCCUAAAGAAAACCCAGAUAAGCAGGAAAUUCACUUACCAUCCCAACAAGGUAUGGGCUGCCUGCAUCUCCCAGCAAGUGGCUCACCAAGAUCUGCAGGGCAAUAGCUGUAGACUGCCGUCUUGGUGUGACAACAUACUGAAAUGAAACACAACACACAAGAGAAUGGAUGUUAUCAGAGCACAUCUCAUGAAUGAAGCAGGUGCCAUGGCUAUGAGGGAUGUCAGCUGAGGCCCUGCAGACCGUGUGAAGGCUCAGGCAGAGGACCCAGCCUGCCCCACCAGAAGGCAGUUUGAUUACAGACUGCUCGCAACUGGAGAGCACCUGAGUGCAGCCACUUUAAUAACCACACCUGAGAGUGACUGUGCUUCUGAAUGCAACAGGUUUAAAUAACAGCUUGAAGAAGAUGUGGCAUAUGUCCAGAGCACUGCAAUGGAUCACAUGGAUUAUAGCUAUUUUUUAAAAUGAAAUAUAGUCAUUUCGGGUUAAUAGGUGCUUUAUGUUCGUGCUACUGAAGAAAACAAACUGUUCUUGAAAAAAUACAGUAUGAUUCUACAUAAUUUGUUUGUGUCUCUCUCUGUAAUACAUUCAUAUUAUUACAUGGUUAAGGGAAAAGCAUUCACAGAAUGAGACAGAGGCAAUUUUAAGCUUUUAUGUCUUUGUUUUUUCCGACCACCUGCUCGUACCACAGACAAAAUGCUUAAUAUCCUCUCUUCCUCUACUUGGGUUUUUCUUGCAGAUUUAUCUGAGCAUCACUUAAGGUGUCUCAGACACUCACUAAUGGGGUGAUGUAUUUUGCCAAGAGACAAACUCAAGGUAUGGAAGCUAUUGCAGCUUUAUAGCUGCCUUCAAGGAAUCACUAACAUGCGUGACAAGAAGUUGGGAAUAGAAGAAAGAAAAGAUUCUGCUCUCACAUUUAACUUAGAGUUUUAUUAUCAUUCUACGUGUGUAAAGAGGCCUCAGAAUAUUAAAGAAAUAUUCUCUUAUCACUAAGAUGUAGCUAUAUCACAACAGCAGCAUCAAUGCCUUAUCUUCACAGUGGAUGUAAAGAAUUGCAUUAAUGGAAAUUAAAACUGGAGGGUAAGGAAGCAACAUUGUCCACAGCAAGAUUAGUUAUUCUUGUGAGAACAAAAGAAAAUAUUUCAGUCUCACUCUCUGAGUGAGUGAGGGAGAUAAGCAAACCAUAGUAGAAAACUCUGGGCUAAGGGAGCAGACCUUGCUAUGGCAGUACUACCCUGGUGCCUUUCUGCUCUUGGCUCUCUCAGGAUAUCAUAUUAUCUGCCCAAGACUCGGUUUUCUUUCUUCUGAUGAUAAUGACAGGCUGUGUUUGAGAAAUGCACAUCAAAUAUUGUUGUGUCCUUAACAUAUUCUGGGCGUUGCAGGCACUGGGGAAUAUAAAUGUUCUUUCCCUCUCUGUGUGUCCUGCACCACUUCCUUAUGGCACGCACUUAGCACCUCAUAUCUGCAGCUUUGAGACACGUGGAACCAAGCUCUAAUGAGAAAAAUGGACAAGAAAGAUAGAAGCUUCCUAUAGUUCCCAGGCUCACUCCAACUCUCACUGUGCUAUUAUUCAGGCUCUUCUACAAAAUGGAAACCUUAUGCAAAAGCUCAAAACUCUGUAGGCUUCGCUAUGAAAGGAAGAAACCGAUCACUACCACAGAGAUGGACUUUGGAAUAACCCAUCCACAGUAACCACCCAGAAGCUCACAGCACGUCAGCAGUGCAGGUGACACCCAACACUCUGUUAUCUCCUAGGAGAUGCCAGUGUGGAUGCCUGGACGGAUGCACGGGGUGCCCACACUGCAAUUUGCAAGCCCUGUCGUGCUGUCUCUGGAGAUUUUAGAGUAUAUGACAGAGCUGUCAGCUAAAAAAGCAGAUGGAAGAGACAGGCUGAUAAACGCUUCUGUACCUCCCAGGGCACUUAUAAACAAAGACAGGAACAUGUUGGUAACCUUCCCAAGCUGAAUAUUAGCUUCCAGCUCCAGCAGGUUUUUUGCUUUUAGCUGCCAAAAGCCUAAAAUGCCGAGUACCAGUACCUCACAGAUGGUAAACAAGUAUUUCAUAGGGGACUCGCCGUGACGGUCUCCCAGUCAGCCCAAGCACUGCAAGCAAAGCAGCUGCAGCACCGCUCUGCCUGCAUGUUCUGAUUGCAGCCAUACAGGAGGUACCGUUGUGUUUACAGCUGAACGAGGGGUACAGAGGUUGCUACGUGCAAUGCAUCUUGACGUAUUAGCCACAAAGGAAGAAAGUCUUUAUCAGUCAGUCAACAUCUUCCUUUGUCCUGUGCUCCACGGGUCACAGGAUAAAUAAAUUCCUGGCUACACUGUCUGCCUGGCAGUGUCAUACAGGGAGGAGGAAAAGUGAUUUUUGUGGCAAAAUAUGAACAUGCAUUAGCAAAUCCAGCCACAGUAUCUGAGAUUCUACCCGAUCACACAGGAAACAAUGGAGAAAAACCAAGUCCCUGUUAUUAAUUAUGGCAUCCUUCAGUCAGUGUAAUAGAAGUAAUACACUGAAACAUGGAUUUUCAGCAGGAUGAAACAGAAAUCCCAAAUAUGAUUGCCACUGAAUGAGCAGCCAUCCACAGAUGCAGCUGAAUGCCAUCAUUUUUCUGACCAAACAAUUACUAACAUUUAGAACUCAACAGAUCCAUACAGAGCACGGUGAUGGCUGUACACAGUAUCCCUGCUCUGAGGGGAAGCACACCAUGGCAGAGCUCUGCUCCCCACCUUCCCACUGGUUGCCAGCCAAUGCAGUACUGCUUGAACCUAAAACCAAAAUGCUCUAAAAUAAAUAACCAAUGAAGUGUGUCAGUCACUUGGGAGACAGGAGCUUCCUCCUCUCCUCUGUUUAUGUGGAUGAAGACAUGGGAAUGACUCUCAAAUGGAUUUUGUACAGGCUGCAAUAGGAUGCAGAAUUCCCUAAGGAAGUUCAGGCCGGAGCAACUGAACUGAAUGCAAGCACAGCUCCCUGCAGGCUGUGCAGCUUGGGACCAGCACUCGCCUGUGCCUUACUUUCCAAUCCUGCAUCAACAGCAUCUAACUCAGCAGGGCCAUCUUCCUCUUCAACAAUGGCAGAGGAGAGAAUUAAAACACAGGGCUUGAAGCAGACAGGCAAUUCACUAAUGCUGGCUGCAAUUGUUAUCUUUCUAUCAAACUUCCAAGCUGCACAGAACUGACAUGGAGACAGCAGUACUAUGAAAGAGUAACUUGAGAACAGAACGUGGCAGUCAAUAUCAGCAGUGCUUUGUUGAAUAACCAUGAAAUAUUGGCUGUUUUAUUCAUUCAUCUCCAUCAGAAUUGAAAGAAAGAUUCUUCAUGCUAUGAAGUUAGAGGAUAAACAAGCUCGUAUCAUCAGGGCAGGGUCCGUUCAGCCAAGCAGAGAUCUACAGUGCUUCAUGGCCUGUCCCUUCUGUCACUACAAAGUGCUCUGUUUGGCUGCACAUUCACACCUUUUACACCAAAAGCUGAAAUAAAGACACUUUUAUUGCUGCUCAUCUGUUUCACUGCUCCUUUAGGCAGCUGUGAGGAAUGCCAAUCAAGGUGUAUACUCUGAGCAAAUAAGGCCAUAGUGACAGAAACCCCAGCAGCAAAUUUUCAGUUCAGCAAGAAAUGAUGGCAACCUUGUGGACAACCAUAUUCCUCAUGAACCAUAGGCUGCAAGUUUUCCUUCCUGUCCUAAAUUCUUGUGACAUGUUACUGUGCAUCACUGCAUGCUGCACUACACAUUAAUGCAUUUACUGUGGUUCUCAUUAUAUGAAAGAUUUAUUAUGACAGUGGAAUUGCUUUAGCAAUCUGCAAAUUGAUUUGAACUCUCUUGAAAUGAGACUAUUACAUAAAAAGGGGGAUGCUGAUGUGACCCUUGCCUAAGCAAGCUCUCUUCAAGAUUUCCCACCAUUAGCCUGAGGGUGGAAACUCACAGAUUUCUGUUGCGUUUUGCCCUUAUCUUCAUGUCUUCUCUAACAAGCCCUGAGAGCUUUAAACAAUUUCUCUCCUUUGUCUUCUAUUUGUACCCACUGCAUCAGCAUUUUGCCUGUGCUACAGCUGCAGGAACAAUCUCCCUCUCAGGCAGCAUCCUGCUUGAAGGUUUGGGUUUCAGUCACACCCUCUGUGCUGCGAUCCCUCAAAAACAAUUCUAAUAAGAAGAAAGUCCAGACCUCAUUUGUGGCACAGUGCUUCCCACUUAGAGCUAUUCUAAGCUCUGGAAGUUAUCUGCACUGUAUUCUGGAGUGAAGGAGCUUGCUGAUAGUUCACAAAAUAAGAGAAGUGUAACAGGUUGACUAACAUUGCUUUACAGAAUAUCGACUUUCUCUCAUUUGGAUCAUCUUUUCAAAGCUUUGGGGCACAAACGUAGAAUCUCUGAAUAAAAACAGAAAGUGAUCCUCUUCCUGAUGGAGACCUUUCCUGUCAGACGUCCGACAACACAGAGCUGUACACAAAAUCCACACUAACGUGGGCACGAGGAGCACCAGGACACUGGCAUGAGCUGCACCCAAACCAGGACGCCUCUUUCCUGGGCUUACAACGAGCUCGGGCUGCCACUACUACACCUGUCUGUUAGCAGUACCUCUGCACGGCGUGAUACCACGCACCAGGUUACAGCACAGGUGUCAGCAGGGUCCCAGAAAGGGCAUUCUUAGUGAGGUUUUGUUCUCCCUAGGAGGAGGAAGCAGGUCUUCCUGACAAGCAAGAUGCACAUGUAUGAACUAUAUUGUUGUGAAAAGCUCAAAAUAAGCAAAUAGUUUCAGAAGCACUUACCAACAGUAUGUCUGUCACAACAGCCCAGUUGACAGAUAAAAAUAGUUCUCCAAACGCAAUAAAAAUCUGCAGAAAAGAAGAAAGCAGUGACUACACAGACACACAGUGACUACACAGACACACAGUGACUACACAGACACACUCCGCUGAUAUUCCUUAGCUUGACGAUGAAGGCAGUCUCAUCAACUGCUUCUAUCUAGAUGAGUUGCUGUACAUGCCCAUCUCUUAAUGAAUUAAACUAUGUCUAUGCUUACAACCACUAUGUUCAUCUUAAAUAUGGAGAAAGUAAGUAGGGAAGGUAUGUGAGUUGCUUUGUGUGGCUGAUACUCAGCAAAAGAGCCAAAAGAGGAAAUAUAGAAGCACUCUCAUUAAUAAAUCAUAUGGACUGAACUGCUGAGCCCAAGAGGAGGGAGGCAAAUCUUGUGAAGGGAAACCUCUAGCACAGGGUUUAUAAAGCGCUCAAAGAUCUCCUUUUACACAGGUUUCCAAAUGAAACCAGUUGAAUAUCUCUGUGCUGUUAAAGUACUGUUAAAGGCUCCUUCAGAGAGGUAACUUCUGAAGCGAAAUGGACUCCUAUGGUCAGGCAGCCUCCAAGACUUGGUGUCCUAUGGGAAUUCCAGAAUUCAACACAGAUGGAAACCCAGCCAUCAGGAAAACAGGGAAGGGCCCCCAGCUGUUCUUAUGCCUGUCUUAGAAGAGAUUAACCCUCUCAGCCAGACCCAGUCAUGGAUUUGAGCAGGCUUUACAGUCUAAUCAAUAUCUGAAGAAAGCAUUAAAGCUACACUAUGAAGAUGGAGCUCUUCUAGAAGGUAUACUCUACUUAGUGGCACAGGCCUCAGUGUCAGAUGGCACCUGGAAAAUAAAGUUUGAGAACUUUGGGCCAAACACAAAAUGAAAUGUGUUGGUGGCGUGGUUAGCAAUACCACACAGUUCCUCUUAUUGCCAAGCUGCACAGAAAUAAGGUCCAACAAGGUCAAACCUUGUAAUCCACCUCAAAAUAUCAGCCCUUCACCAUCUAACCUCCAGCUGAUGCUCUCCAGUCUCUCUUGGAAUAUCCAAAUUCAUCAAGAACCUUCCUUUCCCUUUUUCCAUUGACCUGAAACAUGCUGUUGCUUGACAUAGAGACCCAGCCUAUGAAGUGGUCAAAGCAGGGCUCAUAGGGAAAUUAUGGACAGAUGUAGAAGUGCAGUUUUAUUGCCAUACAGUGAUAACAGCAUGAGUUUACGUAAAUUCUGUUGGUUGUGCCAUAGCUAACAAGAGAUAUGGGAGGCCAAAGGGAAACAGAGAGGAAACAAAGAACAAAGAGAUGUAUUUAGAUCCUAGCUGACACUCUAGAUACCACAGGAUGAAAAUAGAGUGGCUAGAACGUAAGGUUCUGAAGUCUCCCAUCUGUUCCUCAAUACCAUCGGUGGGCUGUACAACCGCCUGCCUUCACACACCAAACAACAGAUUGCUCAAACCCCUUAACGCUCCAUCUCCUUUAUAUAUUUAGUUCUUAAAGAGUUGUUUCAUGUUUUCCUUUUACUUCAUGAUUUCUCAAGUCAUCUAAUCUCUUCAAGUCCCUAAGAACAGGAGCAUGUCAUGCCUAGUGUGAGAAAAGAGUGUAAAAUUUAUCGUUAGGAAACAAGUUAUGUUCUCAACACAGAGUUUGAAGGAAUGGGAAUUAAUGAAAAGCUAUCCAUGAUAAGUGGAUGUGAUACUUAGUGGCUAAGAUCUCAUACUGCAGAGAGUAAUUAUUUCAUAUGGAAUUGUGUUAAUGUUUGAGAUGCAGCUUGGUUAGCUUUUCUUUCUCUCCUAAUGUCUUCUGUGGACUGCAGUUUCAGGGCAUCAGAAAAAAAAAGAAAGAGAGAAAACAAUAAAUCAUUCUACAGAUUAUAUCAAUGUAUUCUGUCUAAAAUCAAUAUCAAUUUUAUACUUUCUCAUGCAGAAUAAAUGCAGUAUGGUUGAGUAGAUGGCAUUCUCAUCCAUCCAAGUGCAAAACAACUGCAAUCUAUAAAUAUGAGAAAGUUGCAUGGUGUUUUAUCUCUAAAACAGGUGAAGAUGUCCUGGAAGUGAUGCACUUGGCAAGGGAGAAGUGCUUAUGAUGGCAGGAAAGCAGUGCUUUAUUUAAAGCAUAUCCUUCUGGUUCUACAACCUCUCAAUAUUCCUCAUACUGUCUCAAGUUCUUAUUUUAAAUUAAUACAGAAAAGGUUUCCAACAAAUUCAUGCAAUCAAUUUUGUGACGUUCCCCAUUCUAAUCUGCUAAGUGUAUCUAGAAACACUGUUUUAUUGCUGUCACCUUCUCCAGGACCCCCAACUUUUUAAGAGACUGAAUACUUGCAGUUGGUCUUCAAAGGAUGUAACCAGAGUAAGUUCCCAAAUUUUAAGGAGAUUUUGCUUUGCAGAUGACCACUUAUGAAAGGCCAAUAUGAAGAGAGUUGGAUUGUAAUUAACAUCAAACACAUGUUCUGCUUUUAAACAGUCACAUGUCUAGACAAAAAGAAGAGUUAGCAUGGCUGGGCCAUACGCUGUUUGACUGUUAUUUUUCAAAAGCCCCACACCACACAGCUGAAUCAGAGACAAAGGCUGCAGUGUCUCCUCCAAAGGCAAUUUGCAGGGCAAGACUGUGUCUUCAUACAGCAAUACCAUUAAAGCUAAGUCCAUUUCAAUUAAAGUUCCUUUGGCACCAAAUACAGUCCAGAGUUCUCAGAUGCAGGGUUCAGAUGUGACUUUCAGACGUGACAUAAAAACUACUACAGUUGCAGGCCAGUGCAUGUGUUGAUUUUUUUUUUUUUUUUUUGCCUCAGUAGCUUCUGCACUGAAGUGAAGCAAUGGAGACAGGUCUGCUAAAGUCAGAGUGCCUGGAUAGACAGCAACUGGAAAGCCAGUUUCCUGCCAGUGUCCUACACAAAUGGAAGAUCUGUUUCAUGGGAACCCUCGGAUUAGAUGCACCAGCUGGCAUGCCACUCCAAUUCCCACACCAGUAUGACUCGUGUCAGAUCCUGUUUGGGAAGCAAGGAGAGGCACGGCUGGUGCCAGAGAAGGCAGAGGUUAAACAGCCACGUGGCAAAAAUAUUAGAAGAAAAAGGUGCUUAGGAUUAUGUAUGAUUUGUUACCCCUGCACACUGCUGGCAUUACAUGUGGGAACACCUGAAGCAACAACAUCAAACUGAAGAUAAAAUGGCAAAGUCCCUGUCUGUGGGACUAACUGGUCUGCCCACGGGAAGAACCGUAUAGAAUCCAGCUAUCCACAUCCUGGUUUACCAUUUCUUCCCAGAUAACAGCAUGAAGAUAGAAUGCUGAUUGCAAGGAGAGAAAUAUUUUACACAGAUUUUGUUUUUUUCCAUCCUGAUAAAAGGUGUCGUUUGGAAAAGGAUAAUUCAAAACUGGUGCAUUGAUUCACUCAUCUAAUCCAGACAGGUAAACCAAACACAGCUGUGAUUGGGCACUCCGUGUUUAAUGGCAAAAGAGAACUGGAGGAGGUGCUCAGGAUGGGACGACGUAGCGACCUAAGAGGCCAAGAAAGAAAAUGGUUAUUUCUUUGGCCAUUUACAUCUCUGCUCUUGGAUUCAAAAAUAAUCUUUAAUUUCACAUUUUGCUUUCUGUACACACACACACCAGCUUGCAAAUCCAUUUGUUUUUAGCUUUGGUUUAAAUGUGUUUUUCCACAGGAAUACAUAUUCUUGAGGAGUCAAAAGGAAAACCUCUUUGAACAAGUGUUAGAAUCAAAAAAGCUGCCAAAAUACCCUGUUGCAGAACUGUUGAUUACUGUAAUUAACUUUACUUGGAUCCUCUUAUUUAUGAUAAUCACAGUAAUGGUAGCUUUGGAUUCACCACAUUAUAGUUAAAAUAAAGUUUAUGUCCAGUCCUCUCUCUCAAGGAGUUUUUUGAACUAUUCCUCAUUCAUAGUAAGUUUCUGUUUUUCUCUUUACUGAAAACAGAACUCCAGUGAUUUAUACUUCAUGUUGCAUUGCCAAAAGCUUGACUUUGAAGAUCAGGUUGUGAUUUGGGGCACUGAAGGUGACGGCUAAAUUAUUCUUAGCAAGAACUCUGUGUAUUGCACAGUCCCAAGUACACCAAUCUUUAAGUAUUCAGAGAGUAAAACAAGAACAUUGAAUUAGUCACAGAGCAUUAAAAAUUAACAUAAGGUUGAGACUUCUUUUAACUAAAUUUUUGCAUAUGGACACUCAAGCUUCAUGUGGAGAACCAUAUAGGCUUACAGUCCUCUUUUUUAGCCCAGGCCAACUCUGUACGUCCUGAGUUCCGAUUUCUGACACUCUGCCUGCCUACCCUCUUCAGUAGGCCAAGUAAUGCACACUGAGUCUCACAGGCAGUAUUGGAGCAACACACGCAGCACUUAGCUAGCAGGCCACUUUGCCCCAGUUAAUGAAACCUCUUAAUUGUCUAGGGAACUACAGGAAUCCAACAGUAGCAAUCCUUUUCCUCCCCCUCCCGUUCCCUACCUCCCCAGGAUUCCAGAAGACAUCUUCCAAGUGAUAGACAGACUGGCACUCACAAAAGUGGAAAGGAUGUUCUUCUGGGCCACCAUGAUUGCUAUGUAGAGGCACAGAGAAGAAGCAAACAUGCUUGUGGCACAGAUCAGAGGAUCAGCUCUGUUGUUCGUUUUCCUUAGUCUUCUUGCAGCUUCUGCCCCAGCAAUGACACCCAGGAUUCCCGUCCCAAUGGUGAUGCCUCCAAAUAUUAGGCUGGUGACAAAGCAAAGGAGCCAGUUAAGUGAAGGAAAAUUGUACUGUAGGAAAAGUUUGGUGUUAAAUGUCCCAUUGUCAGCUUAUACCUUCAGCUUCAGGCAAUCUUCAGUUGGCAACUUGAAUUUUACUCCACUUGAUCUAGCCCUCCCACUCUUUCUAAAUGGAUUCAGUCCCUUGCCUAAAUUGCAGCUAUGCCUGUGCAACAGAGGCUCUAUCCUGUGGAGCAGGUAUUUUCCCAUUUACUGAGCUGGUAUUAUACACCCAGCCUCAAGGAGGACUCUUCCCAGCAUGACCUGGCUUGGACAUCCAGUGAUUCAGAGGAGACACAGUCAUUUUGGUUAGCCUGAGAACUGAUUGACUCAGUCAUCCUUAAAACAGAUGGAAUAACUCUGUAUCACAAUCUGCUGUCUUGGAAAGAGAUCCUAUCACACAGAAUUAUAUACAUCUAAAUUAGAGCCCUCCGUCUGAGAUGACUCACCUCUCUGACUAAGGGAUACAGCUACCAGUACUCAGAACCUUUCACAGAGCACUGAAUAGUUAACCAGUGGGAUAUCCAUGUAGGAUUUUCUGAAUGCAGAAUUUCAAAUGCCACCCAGUUUUUGCAUCUGAAAAUGAAAAUUUUGUUCCCUGGGAAGAGCAAGUUUUUUAUAUUUUUCUCUCUGACUCAGGUGAGACCCUAAUGACAAAACAAGCCUCUUGAAACAAGACCAGUGGUGCCAUUGAUUGUUUAAUGCAUCAAAAAUUCUACAAGGAAAAAAAGUACUGCUAUACUAGAUAAUAAAUUUUAAGCGCAUUUGUACUCCUCCUGUAAAUUCUUCAGGAUUCUGUUUAGCUUGUUAGAGACAAUAUAGAUUGAACAGGCAGAAUAAGCAAUUUGCAGAUUUGUCCAAGAGAAGCAAGCUCCAAGGUGACAUUACUUUAUCUAAGCAUUCACAGAAUUGUGUUUAGAAAAUUCAUGUGCUGUAGACUGCAGUUGAAAUAAACCUACAGCCGGAAGAAAUCAGAGCACAGUUCAACUGACAGGGAGAAAGAAAGCAAAGAAUCCGAAUCCUGGGGAAAGGACCCUAUGGGAUCUUUUAGGGCUUAAGAAUGCUCACAUACCUCUCUGAUCUGUUUGAAGAUGUCUGCACAAAGACCAGAAUGAAAACUUCACAGUGCCUAUUUAUCUACCUUGAAAGGACCAAGACCUGAGUCAGCCGUGUGCUAUUUGAAUUUGUGUUUCCAGAGUCUCCUCUGACACAGCUCUAUCCUUAAUAAAAGCCUACAGCUGCUGAGCAGCCAGAGGGGACAGCGUCCUUACAGUAUCCCUGAGCAGGUCUGGGAACACGCAGCUCAGUCCUCCCAGCACUCCCAGCUGCAGGGCUGACAUAGCUGUUUGUAUUAUUUUUCUUUCUAUCCCCCUGGAAUAGCAGCCUCAACCUCGCCUUAUGCUGCCUCUGGCACUAGCUUGCACCAAGGUUAUUUUUAAAGCAUCCUGUAAAAUGCAGUACAUGAGGUUAAACUAGUGGGGCUCCCUUUUACUUACCUGAAAAAUCAUGUCUGCUCUUGCAACACUACUGUGGAAUAAUAAUUCAGAGCAUAGCAUGAGAUAAGCUAACACUAUCAGCUUAACAAUUAAAAGUAUUUAAACAGUUCAGCUUUCUUUUUUCUCUCUACCCUGAAUCAAAUUCCUAAUUGACUCACUUCUUUAGUGUUAUUUGCUAUUAAAUAAAGUGCUGGUGGUGGCAUCCAUGGAAAGACAACCUCAUUUCCCAUUGAGGUACCUGUGGAUGACUUUUCAAUGUAACUUCCAUCCGUUUAAAACUGGACAGUUCCUCUCUGAAAUCGACCAUGAAAAUAGAUUUCUCUCCCACUGUAAAUGGCCCUUGUUCACCCAAAACUUGAAUCUGUAUUGGUCUGGACUGUCUCUGUAAGCAGAGCUCUGUUGGCAAUUAUUCACAUGAGCAAAUUAUCUUGAUUUGACACAAUAAUGCAAUACCAGACCAAUUCAUCAAGCUUGCUUUGUGCUGGGACUCACAGAGAUAGCCAACACGGCAGUAGUUUUCAAACCAGACUAACAGGAAGGUAAUAGGAAAGUUACUAAAAUGCAGGAUUUAAACAUGCCUAAAUGUGUAUGUAAGGGGCUUGAGGUAUAGAGUCAGUAGAUAACUGAAGUCUCCUUUCCAGUGCUGCUUCUUUCCCUGUAAAUGUUCCUGUUACUGCUUCUUUCCAUUUUACUUAGGGCUGGCAGCAUCUUUCCAGUUCACUGAGUGAUUAUAAACAAGCAACUAAAUAGGAGUAUCUCAGCAUACCUGGAAGCAAUUCAGUCUGACAUUCACACCUCUUUGCCUUCACAAAGUAUUCACCGUCACAUCCUACCUUCCGCCUUUGGAAACAAACUGUGAUUUAGCACUGUACAGUGUUCCUUAUGUGUAUGUAAGCAGCCUUGCACAGCUCACCUGUUAGAUGAAUUGCAUGAUUUUUCCAGGCACUGCUGCACAGUGCCCAGGGCAACCUGAGCCCUGUAAAGGAACAUCGGUACCCACAGACCCAGCGCUCCAGUGACGAAGGCCAUGGCAGUCAGACCCAGCGAGGACCAGACAAAGCUCCAACUGGAAGAUGAAAGAAAUGAGAGCUGUUUGAAAGAAUGGGACAUGAGGCUGGGCCCACAUGCACUGUCCAGAAUGUCAAGCGAUAACAAAGCUGUCCACUCAGAUAUCUCAGCCGAAAUUAUGACUGCAUUCACUUGAAGAUACAAAUUUUGAUGGUGCUUUAUCUAUGAAUUUAGACAGCAAGACACUAAUUAGAGUGAAGAGUGUGACCUACUGAUUUAAUGUUAAGUGCCAGUCAUGGUCUCUUGUGGAUCUUAUUGCUAAGUCUUCUAAAAAAACUGCUGUGACAUUUUUGAUAGCAGAACUACAAUAACAGAAAGUGGGCAAGAAUUCAGAGCCUUAGCAGCUAAACUAAAGGGUUCUGAGUGCACCUUUAAAUUCCUCGGGGUGGAUUUCAGCUGUUCAUAUAACCAAUAUAAAAGAGCAACUUCUGCCUCUUUCCACCAGUUAAGGGGUGGGGGUUCAAGUACUUUAAUUCUAGGUGAUAAGGUAAAAACUGAUCUCAGUCUGCACAGAGAGCUAUCAGACAGAAGAGAAACGCUGGAAUCAUGUUGCCUUACUGCCCUCUUCUAGUAGAAAAUGAACUUUUUACUGAUCUCUUUCAAGCCAGAGGUUUAUAGAAAAUCCCCUUUGAAAUCAGCGAGGAGUUGUGAAAUCUUCAGAUGAAAUAAAAGUGCUGUGAAUGAGGAGGUGACAACCAACAAGAGGAUUUCUUAAGAUAUGAAUCUGAUUCUACAUCUUUUAAAGAUAAGUGGCUCUUGCACUUAAUGCAGCGUGGAACUGCAUGGCUUUUGGCAGCGUGUCCUUGUGCUUUGGGAAUCGGUUCUGAAAGGAAAAGAAAAUGAUAUUCCAGUUUUAUAACAUUGCUGGAGGUUGUAAGGAAGUUUUCUGCAGAAAAACAGCCUUGGCAUUAGUCUGCCUGUUGACGUGUCAGGGAGGUUUCACCUUGGUUCACCUCAGACUGCUGCUGCCUGCAAACUGUCAUCCAACAAAAACGGCCUCUAAUGAACUCACUGCUCCAGAUGCAAAUAGGGUGCAAAUCUAAUCAUCAGUUAGAAAACGCUGUCUGCUGCAGAAGAACACUCCAAAGAAGGUCCCAGAGCAGGAAGAGGAGCAGCUCUUUAACUGAAAAGCAUUUCAUCGGGACCCCAGGGAAGCAGCCUGCUGGCGCGGGCGGCGCAGAGCGGAGUCUGGUGCAGGUGCACAGCGGCACCUGCUGUUCUCAGACCGGAUCCACCUCUUCCUCCCCGACCUCGGCAGGAUAUUCACCAGCUGCAGGGUAACAGGAGGGGGAAACCCCCCGCCUAAGACACGCUGAUCCCACUUUCCUCGGGCACUAAGAAUUACAGAUGAAGUUACACCUGAAAAGUGUGCCAACCUACUCUACCCUGCGUGCCAAAGUAAGAGAGAAGGGGAAACCUGAUAGAAAGUAGAACUGGCUUUAAACAGGAGCACCCUGCCAACAUUGCUUUGCCUCCUUCCCCCUUGCUAUAGGGAAACAAAACAAAACAAAAACAAUUUUUAAUCUCUUUCAUACUAUUCCUGUAAAAGGGUGGGAGAAAGAUUUUAUCAGAGCUGUUUCAGUCACCUCACCUACAGCAUGUGGUACAGAGGAGCCGAGUAGGAUUUCAAAGCCGUACUUCUAAUAUUAGAAUGGGCAUUUUUCAGCUGUUGCUAAAAUCACUUACUUCUUGCCAAGCGAUAUGACAUCUUGACACCAAGAAGUCUUGGCAGCUCCCUGUGCACCAGGCUUCUCAGCUGCUACUCGUAUAGAGCCAUGGAUGCUCAGUGCUCUGUGUGCCUCUGUCCUUCUCUGGAUCCUGUGAGGGACCAGCAGAAUCAGAAGAACCAGUGCUAAACCUCCCAUGCAAGGAGUAACCUGCAGACACAAAGCUGGUUAGAUCAAGGAUAUCAUUUUUUCUUGUAGCAAAAAGUCCUCAGUAACUCAAACUCAGAGACAGAACUGCAUAUCAGAGAAUUGUCAGUAUGCUCAGCAAUCUGUGUGACUUUGUAGAUCAUAAUUGUAAAGAAGAGUGGGUUUUGGUGAACUUAGGUGACUUUGGAGGAAGGACAAUGAAUGUCCCCUCCCCAUCAUAGAGACACAGGAUUGCUUCCUCUGCUUUUAGAGGAAUCGAGAUGAAAACUACAUAGGAGUACUCUGAUCACAAACCCAAGGACUGAUGAUGCAGCCACAGAAGACUGCUAUACAACCAUUCCAAGUGUGUCCUCGAGUGAGAGGAACAUCAGCAUCUGCCCUGGCUGCAGUACGAGUUCCCCUAUGUCUGUUUUCAUUCUACAAAAGCCAGGCAGAAAUACUCCACUUGUCCCAGCAGGGACAGUUCUCUUAAACACCAACUUUGUGGCCAGCCAGAAAAUAGGAAUCCCCUCCACCACUCACCUCAGCACAGUGAGCACAAGCAGUCCAAACCUCAGACAAAAUUUUACAGUGAAUGCCUCAGGCCCAUGAGUGGAAGUGAUUUACUCACCCGGAAGGCCCAGUGCCAGUCACCUGUGACAUGUGUCAUGCUGGAUGCCAGGACGUAACCAAGGCCACUGUAAGAAACAGAAGGGGAUAAUCAGUAGGUGCUAAUGAACUCAUGCUGGCUGAAGCAUCGUGUCUCACUGCUUAGGGAGAGCACAGGGAAGCAUUUCAUCAUAGCUUUCAAAACAGAUAAAACAGAAAGAACACACAUGGCCUCUGCUGGUCCACUUGCCAAUGGGUAUUAAGAAGAGAAUCUCAUCUCCUCAGAGCACUUAGGACAGUGGUAAUAACGUCCCAGAUUUUCCCUGGAAUGUACAUUCUGUAGGAUGACACUGCAAAUCCAGAUCAAACAGCCCAGAGCGCUCUGUUAUUUGCUCCCUUCUGUGCAAGCCAUGUGAAAUAAGCCCUGCAGGAAUUCCUUUUGUUUUAGUCUGGAUCCUGGGCUCAUCCUCAACUGCCCGCUCUAAUAAAGAGUAUGAAACACUUACAAAGCCCUUCUCCAGCUCUCCUACAGACACAAAGUCCAUUUAAAUAAAAGAGGGGAGGAAAGUGCCAAUUCCUCCUUAAGAUAUGCUUAAUAGAGAGAUACAACAGAAUUGUCAGGUAAACAAAAACUUCAAUUUUCAAUUGAAUAAAUAAAUAACUCACACAUAUUUCUUUUACAA